rnacentral:rRNA from 1 species
GCAAGUCGCACGGUAACGGAACUAGCUUGCUAGUUGCCGACGAGUGGCGGACGGGUGAGUAACGCGUAGGAAUCUGCCUAGUAGUGGGGGACAACCCGAGGAAACUCGGGCUAAUACCGCAUAAUAUUUACGAAUCAAAGCAUGGGACCUUCGGGCCAUGUGCUACUAGAUGAGCCUGCGUUGGAUUAGCUUGUUGGUGGGGUAAAGGCCUACCAAGGCGACGAUCCGUAGCUGGUUUGAGAGGAUGACC